AGUUCAGGGAGGUGGGGCCCAAGGAGUCCCUGUAACUCUCACACUCUUGUUAUUUAUCCCCUGUUAAUCUGUCAGUCUUACUCUGGAUAGUUGUCUUCAUGACAGAGAUCAAGGAGGGGAGACGUUCCUGGCUUGGCAAAUUCUCUGAGGAUGUUCACAACAAUCUGAGAAAGAAAUGAAGCUGUCUUUUAUAAGAACAAAGUCCUCAAAACAUUAGAAAGGACAGAGCAUAAAACUGGAAGAGAUUUCCUGGGCUGUUGUGUUCCAUGUCCUAGUCAGUUAUAUCAAAGAGUAACCCUUUCACAUCCAUCUUGAAACCAGUGCAACAGGAGAUGCCUAUGAGAGAACGCUCAAGUCACUGGAAUGGACAGCAGUCACCAUUUUCUUGGUUAGGAAAGGGAAGCUUUAAGGAAGUUUGGGAAAAGCAGAAGGAAAAAAAAAAAACAACAAAACAUGUAUACAAUACAGUAAUUUGCAAUGGAACAAAAAGUGUCAGUCUGGUUGUUAUUUCCGGGAAAUAAAUUUUUGGCUUAGUGGCAAGGCCACUAGGAAAUCCCAUAGAAGUGUUAGACCAUGAACAUAUUUGGUAACUGUUCUUGAAAGGAAACCCUAAAGGCAAACAACUUGUUUUGUGAAUACCCUAUGAAAUUGGAGAGAACCUCAAAUAGCCCCUGCAGUUCCGGAAAUAUUGGAGGAUACAGAUGUUGCGUGAAUAAAUUGGUUGAGUGCCUGGAAGGAGAAUGAUCCUGAUUCUUGAAUGAGACAAUCCACUUGAUAGAAAAAUAAAUAAUUGUGAGGAAGAAUGUUAAGAAAGUAUGUCUGCUUUCAUACUGAGGCCAGGAAAGACUUUCUUGUGUGUGUGUUUACGUCUUACUUUAAAGGAUUCCAUUCUCAUGUGUUGAUGUUAAAAUCAAGUACCAGACAAACCAAUGGCAAUUGAAAAAUAAUUUGAGAUAAUCAAACUCAUAAUCUUGAAACCAUAUCAUCAUGUGAUUCUUUUCUCAGAAGAAAGGAGGGCUUUUUUUAGGAUAAAUAAAUGGAUAGCUAUUAAGAG
rnacentral:lncRNA from 7 species